UGCGCAGGCGGUUUUGUAAGACAGAGGUGAAAUCCCCGGGCUUAACCUGGGAACUGCCUUUGUGACUGCAAAGCUUGAGUGCGGCAGAGGGGGAUGGAAUUCCGCGUGUAGCAGUGAAAUGCGUAGAUAUGCGGAGGAACACCGAUGGCGAAGGCAAUCCCCUGGGCCUGCACUGACGCUCAUGCACGAAAGCGUGGGGAGCAAACA
rnacentral:rRNA from 1 species